rnacentral:lncRNA from 1 species
CUCAACCCAUUCGAACCUCAUAAGCCAAACGAAAAUCUCAAAAGAUUCAAUCCGUUGGAACCCUUAAUCUUCUGCAAACUUUCGAAACUCCGAAAUCUUCAACCCACUUGAAAAAUCAUAAUUCUUCAACCCAUUCGAAAAUCUCAAAAGCUUCAACCAAUUCGAACCAAUUCGAAUCUCAGAACCCCUUUGAAACUCAUGCAGAAACCAUUCGAAUCCUCAACCCAUUUGAAACCCUUUUGAUUGCUCGCACAUGUUUCUGUAUUCUUCCCGACCUUAU